rnacentral:rRNA from 1 species
CACGUAGGGGGCGAGCGUUGUCCGGAUUUAUUGGGCGUAAAGAGCUCGUAGGCGGCUUUGUCAGUCGGGUGUGAAACCUCCAGGCUCAACCUGGAGCCGCCACCCGAUACUGCAAUAGCUAGAGUCCGGUAGGGGAGCAUGGAACUCCUGGUGUAGCGGUGAAAUGCGCAGAUAUCAGGAAGAACACCAGUGGCGAAGGCGGUGCUCUGGGCCGGAACUGACGCUGAGGAGCGAAAGCGUGGGGAGCAAACGGG